rnacentral:rRNA from 1 species
GAUGAACGCUGGCGGCGUGCCUAAUACAUGCAAGUCGAGCGAACAGAUGAGGAGCUUGCUCCUCUGACGUUAGCGGCGGACGGGUGAGUAACACGUGGAUAACCUACCUAUAAGACUGGGAUAACUUCGGGAAACCGGAGCUAAUACCGGAUAAUAUAUUGAACCGCAUGGUUCAAUAGUGAAAGACGGUUUUGCUGUCACUUAUAGAUGGAUCCGCGCCGCAUUAGCUAGUUGGUAAGGUAACGGCUUACCAAGGCAACGAUGCGUAGCCGACCUGAGAGGGUGAUCGGCCACACUGGAGCUGAGACACGGUCCAGACUCCUACGGGAGGCAGCAGUAGGGAAUCUUCCGCAAUGGGCGAAAGCCUGACGGAGCAACGCCGCGUGAGUGAUGAAGGUCUUCGGAUCGUAAAACGCUGUUAUUAGGGAAGAACAAAUGUGUAAGUAACUAUGCACGUCUUGACGGUACCUAAUCAGAAAGCCACGGCUAACUACGU